rnacentral:rRNA from 1 species
AACGAACGCUGGCGGCAUGCCUAACACAUGCAAGUCGAACGAGACCUUCGGGUCUAGUGGCGCACGGGUGCGUAACGCGUGGGAACCUGCCCUUAGGUGCGGAAUAACUCCCCGAAAGGGGUGCUAAUACCGGAGAAUGUCUUCGGACCAAAGAUUUAUCGCAUUUGGAUGGGCCGGCGUGGGAUUAGCUAGUUGGUAGGGUAAAAGCCUCCCAAGGCGACGAUCCAUAGCUGGUCUGAGAGGAUGAUCAGCCACACUGGGACUGAGACACGGCCCAGACUCCUACGGGAGGCAGCAGUGGGGAAUAUUGGACAACGGGCGGAAGCCUGAUCCAGCAAGGCCGGGUGAGUGAUGAAGGCCUUAGGGUUGUAAAGCUCUUUUACCCGGGAUGAUAAUGACAGUACCGGGAGAAUAAGCUCCGGCUAACUCCGUG